rnacentral:rRNA from 1 species
AACGCGAAGAACCUUACCUGGGUUUGAAAUGCAGUUGACCGCCUCAGAGAUGGGGAAUUCUCGCAAGAGACAAUUGCACAGGUGCUGCAUGGCUGUCGUCAGCUCGUGCCGUGAGGUGUUGGGUUAAGUCCCGCAACGAGCGCAACCCUUGUCGUUAGUUGCCAGCACGUAAUGGUGGGCACUCUAGCGAGACUGCCUCGGUUAACGGGGAGGAAGGUGAGGAUGACGUCAAGUCCGCAUGGCCUUUAUGCCCAGGGCUACACACGUACUACAAUGGUCGGUACAGAAGGUGGCAAAACCGCGAGGUGGAGCAAAUCCUCAAAGCCGGCCCCAGUUCAGAUUGUAGUCUGCAACUCGACUACAUGAAGAUGGAAUUGCUAGUAAUGGCAGGUCAGCAACACUGCCGUGAAUACGUUCCCGGGCCUUGUACACACCGACUGUAC